AUCAGGGAUAUCCUAACUAAAGUUCAGCAGCUUAUCCCUUGGGACCGUUCGACCAAAAAUAGAAGGUUGCAGAGACAACAUUUCGAUUCAGAGUUUCAAGGAAGGGCAUAUCACUGUGGACGUUGAUUCUUGCAGCUUCACUUCCCGUUCAGAAUUGUAAACUUGAUGCUAGAGCGUGGAGCUGUCGCCUCCCGCGGCAGGAUAUGGGAGUUAGUGACCACUGGUGCAACGCUCUUUAUUUAGCAAUGUAAAGCUACAAAACACUUGUAAAACUUUUCUAUCCGGCCAUCAUGGGCCAAAUAUAAUGGAAUGAUUUCAGGUGGGGGAUCCCCCCCCCUUGACCCUUCAAAAAAAAAAACAAAUUAA